rnacentral:rRNA from 1 species
UAUCUCUGUAGAGUCUGCAUAUCAAUAAGCGGAGGAAAAGAAACUAACAAGGAUUCCCUUAGUAACGGCGAGUGAAGCGGGAAGAGCUCAAAUUUGAAAUCUUCAAGGUUUACCUUGACGAAUUGUAGUUUAAAGAAGUGUUUUCUGUUGGAGUUUUGGUAAAAGUUCUUUGGAAUAGGACAUCAUAGAGGGUGAGAAUCCCGUAUUUGACCGUUACUUUCAGCUGUUGGUGAUACACUUUCAAAGAGUCGGAUUGUUUGGGAAUGCAGUCCAAAAUGGGUGGUAAAUUUCAUCUAAAGCUAAAUAUUGGCGAGAGACCGAUAGCGAACAAGUACCGUGAGGGAAAGAUGAAAAGAACUUUGAAAAGAGAGUUAAACAGUACGUGAAAUUGUCAAAAGGGAAGCGUUUGACACCAGUGUUGUUUUCUCGAAAAUCAAUUAAAAAUGGCUUGAUUUUGUGUUGUAUUGACCUUAAAAGCUUUCUUCACUUUUUUCAUGUCUUUUUUAAUGCACUUUUCGUUUAACAAGUCAACAUCAGUUUCUUUUGUUGUAAAAAGGUCAUUGGAAGGUGGCUUUCACUUCGGUGAAAGUGUUUAUAGCCUUUGGCUUCUGCAAUCGGAGAGAUUGAGGUCUGCAGCGUAGAUCCUUCGGGGCUAGAUACGUAGAUGCUAAGUUAUAGUUUUUUAUAGACAACUUGUUGACUAUAAUUAAUCAUGUAGCUUACUCGUUUGCGCUAUUUUACCUACGCUUAGGAUGUUGAAGAUGUAGCACAUCAU